rnacentral:rRNA from 1 species
AACGCGAAGAACCUUACCUGGGCUCGAACGGCUUAAGACAGGGGUGGAAACACCCUCUCCCCUUAAAAGGCUUGAGUCGAGGUGCUGCAUGGCUGUCGUCAGCUCGUGUCGUGAGAUGUUGGGUUAAGUCCCGCAACGAGCGCAACCCUUGUCCUGUGUUGCCACUCCGUAAGGAAGCACUCGCAGGAGACCGCCAGCGAUAAGCUGGAGGAAGGUGGGGAUGAUGUCAAGUCAUCAUGGCCUUUAUGUCCAGGGCUACACACGUGCUACAAUGGCCGGUACAAAGCGCUGCAAACCCGCGAGGGGAAGCUAAUCGCAAAAAACCGGUCUCAGUUCGGAUCGCAGGCUGCAACUCGCCUGCGUGAAGCUGGAAUCGCUAGUAAUGGCGUAUCAGAACGAUGCCGUGAAUACGUUCCCGGGCCUUGUA